AACUAUAACAAAGACUUCUUUCCUACUAUUUUUUACCUGCAUCUAUUCAUGUAUAUGCUAGCUCAAACAUCUUUUUCGCCGUAGUGGUUUGUUAUUAGUUGAUACCAAGUACCUAUUCUCCCUUUUUGCCUUUAAUCUUCUGCUCUAGAUACAUUUGUAUUAACUUUGAAAAAAACAAAUGACAUGAAUUAGAUUAAGCUAAUCAACUUCUCAUUAUUCGUAUUUUUUUACUUCUUUUCUUGCAUGCAGAUGUACAUUACAUUGAAGGGCACAGACAAAUCAUGAGUUGCACAUAAAACUCGUGGUGCCUAGAUCCUGCACACCUUGUUACCUUUGAAAUUAAUUUCAUGGCUUGAGUUAUCUAACAUAUAAAGCCUCCUAGAGUACCCGCUAUCCUGAAGCCUUCGCGUCGCGCAUGCGUUUUCCUUCGCACGAUUUCACUGCGACAGCGAUUUUUACGGUGCUGUCAAAGUCUUGGCCGUUCGUUGUUCGUGACUCCUUCGUUUCGCUUUUCUUGUAUGAUAGGUGGGCCUCAAUUGCCCUCGGGCCCAGCAUUCUGGUGUGGCCUGUGUGUGUGCUGGGUGAGAAAAGGAGGAGAAUGGGGGUGGAUCGUGGUGCGAGGUGAAAACUCAGCCACCAAUCCCCCACGUCUCCGAGCAACCAAUCCAGGCCCCGCUCCCCUCCCUCUCCACCGUGCCGCCUCCUCCCCUUCUGCCCUGCUCUCCACCACAUCUCCUCUCCUCCCCUUUACUGUCCUCUCCGGCGGCGGCGCCAAUCUGCGGGCAAAGGGAGACGGCGGGGGCGCCAAUCUGUAGGCAAAGGGAGACGGCGGCAGCGCUCGAUUCAAUCUGCGGAAGAGAGAAGAUGGAGGGAGAGAGAGAAGGGGAAGAGAGGAGGGAGAAAGAGAGAGUAAAGAGGAGAGAGAGGUGAGGCGGCUGGCAGAUAGGGUCACCGGAAGGAGCGCCCGCUUUUCUUUCCGGCGGUAGCGCCGACCUGCAGGCAAAGGGAGAAGAUGAGAGGGAGAGAGAGAAGGAAGGAGAGGGGGGAGAAAGAGAGAGGAAAGAGGAGGGAGGUGUGGUGGAGGACGGGAGAGGGUCACCAGAAGGAGUGCCUUUCGAGGUCGUGCGCCGGCCGGAGCAGCAGGAGCAAGGAUCUGGCGGCCUCUGCCUCCCCGUUGCACGCCAGCACCGCAUCUCCUUCAUAUUUUAUUUUCAGUUUUCACAUGUUGAGCUAUAGGUUGGCUUGAUCUCUUGUGUUAGGGACGUGUGAGGUUGAACGACUGAAAAUUGUUACAGAACUUUCCCUAUGGCCGGUCUGUUUCACAAUUGUCUUAUCAUAAUGCUAAAGAAGUCUCUUUUUUGCAGGAAGCCUUCCGAUCUGUGGAGAAUAUUCAUGGCUUGGUGAACAUGGUUAAGAGAACUCCAAAACCAUCUGUCAUUGUCUUAUAUUAUGCCAAACUAACUGAAAUAUCCUGAAUAUCCGAGUCACUUGUAUCAUGCGUAUGCAUCGCUGAAGCUUUUCAUCUUGCAAAAGAGCUACAAUAAAAAAAUAACUCAGAAGUGACCUUUUCAAUUUCUCCCUCGUAUCCAAGUGUGACAAUAGAGAAAUGGUUUCUAGAGCUCGCCGUGGAUCCUUUUUUGGCUGCUGUGAUUUUUUUAACAUGCUGCCAAAAUGUUCAAUGUCUCUGUUAUCACAUGGAUUUAGUCUUCCAAUGCAUUCUCGUCGAACAAUGUAGGAUGUGAGCUUCUUCGGCUUCUUCCAGCGGCCCGGCCAUGACGUCCUCAAGCCGCCGACGCUCAGAGUGACAUCAAUGGCCCUCUCCCAAGCUGCACUGCUCCUGAUCUUCAUCGCCUCACACUGUUGUGCUCCGCACAGUUCAGCCUGACCAUGAUGUUCUCAAGCCGCCGAUGGUCACAACACACGUGGCGACCCGCUCCCAAGCUGUGUUGCUUUUCCAUCAGCGCUGACAAACUUAGUUUGUUUUUGAAUGUGGGCAUCAGGUCUCCGAGUCGUUUAAAUCUGAACGCAAGACCAAGGCUACUAGCCUGAGCAUUGCGGAACAAAGCAGGAAAGCAUUUGCUGAACUUAAUAAAAGCAAGCAUGGAAUUUAAGUAGGUUCAGGGUGUGGUGGACAAGGACGCCUCUGCCACAGCACCUGCAUCUUCAUCUCUGCCAUGUGUCUUCUGAUUACCACAGUAACACAAUUUUCUUACUCAUGCUUUGCGCUUAGUAUAUUUCUUCACUCUGAAAAGUUAACUUUUGUUGGUUGCACGUCAAGUAACAAAGGUAAUACUUUUUUGUUGCUUCAUUGGCAUGGUUAGUUUUACAUCAUUUACUAAGUUGAAAGCAGUUGAGAUGUAUGCCUUAAUAUCUGUUGUUUUGUUGCGUGUUGCUAUUCCUUGAGGCCACUCCAAGAUGAUCGUUAUUUCUUAUGCAGACAAAUAAUUGCUGUAACAUGAUUACAUUUACUGAUUGGCGUAGCUGUACUUUUGGAUGGCAGUGUUCAUAGCUUAGUGGCAGUGUUUUAGAUGUCUUUUUUUCCUGUAUCCUAUUGGUGCCUUUGGAAAUUAAGAAUUACUUUCUUUUUAGGAUUCUUGCCGGAGGAGACGAACUUUUAUGGAUUCUUGCUGGAGGAGAUGAACUUUUUUGGUGUGUUUUUUCCCCUGUAUGCGUCGCUUCAGAUCAGGCUGAUGCUGUUGUUAUUAUGGAUGAGCUGUUGAAGGCCAAGGUUUUCCUUGUGAGAAUGCCAUAGGUACAAGAAAAGAUUGCCUGAAAGGUCUUUAUGGUUUAUUCUGCAAGGUUAGAGGCCUGCUGAGGCUAGCGUGAGGUCUGCUAUGGCAUCGAUGAUCUGGGUGUCAUGACUGUGAGGACUGCUCGCGCCUCUCCGCUCACAAACCGUGUGACAGAGUAAAUACUCUGGUCCACAACAAUUAGACCUUCCUCCCUCUCAGCUAUGGUAUUGCAGCACAACAAUCUCCUUCCACCUUCAUUUGUUGGGCUAGAGCGUUAGAAGACAUUCUAAUUUUCUAGCUAUAUUUUGCAAUGUUAGACUGGUCAAAUGUGUUUGUAUAUGGUCGCAGUGGCGUGAGCUUUUUCAUUACUUGAUCUGUUUAUUCAAACUCAAUUUUUCUGUUGUUGUGGAGAGGAGGAUCAUCUGCUCUUUCAUACAUAUUUAUUACCUUCACUAUGAUCAUGGUAUCGAUUAAACUAUUUCUAAAUAAGCUUCUCCAUCAAACAUGUCCUAAUUAUGUCUUUCAAGCUGGGGGUUGCUCACCCAACCUUUCAUGGAAAAAUGGCAAUCUGUUCACUUUGUGAUCAUUUAUUUAUUUUAAGUUGCCUAGGAAAGUUGGACAGACAUAAAACUUGGUCCAGGAACUCCUGGAUAUUGCAAUGUGUACUCUGUUUUCAUCUGAAUUUAUUAGUUGCUAGAGGUUGUACCUUUGACGUGGACCAUAAAUUGUCCAUUUGAGCUGAACUUUCUCCAGAGGAGAAAGUCCCGAUGCAAGCUGCCAUGUUUCUUAGCUGUAAUUUCUUUUACCAUCGUCUGAAGAAUUUCUUCCUACCUGUUUGCUAGGCCUGACCAGUAUUCAAGCACCCUAGCCUUUUUUUCCCUUGGCAAGAAACCUUGGCAGGUGCUAUGAGGUACAGAAGCUGGAGAGAUAGUUCCGAAACUCCUUGAGGGCUUGGAGGGUUUAGGGUGUUUGAAAAUGAGACCCAAAUAAAAUUCUUUUCCAUGUCGUUGUUCUGCUGGAACUGUUAUUCUUAUUUCUCUCGUCAACAAUGGAUAUUGUGCCACAAAGUGCCCAGGCAGCUGGAAGCACACAUAAAACCAUCGAUGCUCCUUUCCGUAGGAGAAAUAAGUGAACGGACAAUCUUUUCAUCUUUGUAUAAAUUCAGAUGUGAUUAGCCAAGUCCAGAAGAUUUGGUCUACUUCUCACUAAAUCCCAUCUGUUCUUCAGAUAAUACUUUUUCUUUGAGUUCAGACGCGAUUAGCCUUCAUGAUGCAUGGAUGCAAAUUUGGACAGUUGGAUUCUUGAUGUGCACAUAAAUACAUUGAGAAGAUGGAACUAGAAUUAAACUUCCGUCCAACUGCAGGUCAAGGUUAGAGUGGUUCUGCAACUAUUUCCAUCUGAAAAGAUAUACUUUGCAGCAUCCUGUAUGAUACGUAUAUGCUUGCAGAGGCGUCCGAGCUGUCGAGGUGAGCAGUGGUGGACAACUAUAUAGUGUGUCCUCUUCUUCCUCGACGGUGCCUCCGUGCUUUCCCAUGUCGCCUCACCAGCCACCACCAACAGCAGUGUAUUGAUCUAUGGCGGGCAAGACCAAAGCACUGCAGCCGCCCGAGGGGCGCCCAAGGCCAAGCCUACACUAGCAGCGGCGAUGACGGAGGCGGAGGCGAAGGAGCUCCCCAAGGCCAUCGCGUGGCAGCUGGUCCAGGACAAGCUCGCCUGGGUUGCCGUGGCCGGCGCCGGCGAAGGAGGAGGGUGGAGGUGUGGUGGACAAGGACGCCAUGGCCGCCUUCGCCACUGCCUCUCUACCACUUCAGAAUAUCACUAUAUCUUCAUCCCUGCCUCUCUGCCACUUCAGAAUAAUAGUUGACGUUUUCACCAUAAAUCUGUGUACUGCAGCAUUUUUAUAGAUACUCUCUGUAAAUAAAAUCUUUUUUUCUUUAAGGGUUCAUAUAUAACUCUGUUACAACAUUGAACUAAAUCCUGAAUUCCUGAUCCUUCCUUGUGUAGCCUUAUCUCAGACAUACGUAACUGAAAAUAAAGCUAUGCACAGAGAAAAGGUGUAGACUCGGUUGCUGGGCAUGAACUCCGGCAUAGACUACUUUAGUUUUCUUCCAGUAAAGGAGAUGUCGAAUGAGGUGUUCUUCUAAGCUUAUAAGGGAAUAUAUGCACUACCAUUGGAGUAGCAAUUUUAGUUCUCAAAUUGUAGUAUUAAAUUAUAUGUGCCAGGAUUAGCAUAGUGAAAAGUGAUAUGCCUCCUAUAUGACCGACUCAUAGACUUAUCUAAAAACUGGAUCCUAUGCUCUGCACCCUUCUUUUGCUUCGUGCCAUUAUUUACUGAUAACUGUUCUCACUAUCUAUAUUUAAACCUUCUCAGUGUAAGAGUGACAAGACACUCUCCUAUCCAUUCAAUUGAUUCCUUUUUUCUUAUCAUUAUUUUCAGGUCAACUACACUAAAAGCAAACUAAAAGAUUCAGAUUAUAAUACGCUCAAGGUCAGGCUUGCAAACAGUGAUCUACACGCCAAUUGUCGCAUCAUGCUAGGAACCGACAAGAGAGCCACCGUGACAACCAACUGGUCUGAGUUCCGCCGCCUUUCAAAAAUCCAUGAAGUAGACUUCUGUACCUUUCGUUUCAAGGUCACCACAAAGCAGCGCCUGGUUCUCAUCGUGCAUUGCCUUUAGAUGAACCAUCAACAACAACGGAAAUCGUAUCUAAAUAUCAUCUAGCAUUUAUGCAGCAACACAGAUUGUGCUAGGCGUGAUGGAAGGUGAUGCUCAGAGAAACUUGUCGAGAUGCUCUACCUGAUGAUGAUUUUAUUGUUUUGUUUGUUCAACAGUAUGUAGCGACACAGAUUGUGCUAGGCAUAAUGGAAGGUGGUGCUCAGGUAACAAAACGGAAACAUGCUUCUCUUUGAAACCGUGCCAAGGCAAUUGCAUUCUUGUUAUUAUUUGGUGUAUACUAUUUAAAAUAGGAAGGAAAGCCAACACAUACUUUUGUUUCCAUUCUCAAAUCGUACCAGUAAGAAGAUUUAUUUUGGAUGAAGAAAAAACUCUGCCAUGCUUGUGUUGAUUUAAAAAGAAUUUUGAUAAUGGCCUGUGCUAAUCACUAAUUUUUAUAUCUUUCUAAGAGGGCUCCCGCCGUUUACAUUAAAUGUUUUCUCUGGUGAAGCGACAACUAUGUUUCCACGUUGAAAUCAGUUCUACAACAGCCAAGGAUGGGGCAUCGCACCGACGACAGUGAACUGUAAUGAGGGUGAGAUGCCGAUGUCUGCGCCGGCGCCAGAGACCGUGACCACAACUCGGGGGCGAGGUGGCGGUGUCAUCGGCAUUGCCAGUGUUGGCCCCUUGAGUUUUGGACCUGCCGAGCUCUGGUUCUGGAAGCUGCCAAUCCCAUCGAGCCCCUCCAGCAGCCUUCAGUAUACAGUUGAGGAGAAUUUAUAAGCGAGUGGAUCAUAUGUACUCUUUUUAUGAUGCAUCUCUGACCAUGCAGUUUCUGGGCCUCACAGAGAAGGUCAAGAAGGAAGAGCUUGUCAAGUCUGCAAUCGAGGAUUUUUCUGUCAGGCUCUGUUGGUGGACGCGAGAGACAUCUGGAUAGAAAGUUCGACUCUUCCUUACUAGAGCCAUAUGACCAAAAAGAUGAGGCUCUUUCCAAGCAUACAAGCAUAAGAUAUGUUAAUAUUGGGAGAGUGUCUCAUAUACUGCUCGAGGUCGGGAGGGUGCGGAGGCUGCUAGAGGAAGCAUUGGAGGCCGAGCUCAGCAGCAAUGAUGAGCUGCUACUGGUGUUGGACCGGGUACGUCUACGAAGGAACGGGAGUGGGGUGGCUGGUUGUAUCCGCCAGAUUUUUGUGGAUGUGCUUAGCCAAGUUUUGAGAGCAUAUUCAGUAUACCUUGGUUGCCCAUAUGAUUGGUCAUCUCUCAAACAAUGGCACGGCCGCCACCUGAAAAGUGGCUAUCCCUAGCUAGCUGAGGGAUAACCUCAUAACCAAAAAUGCCCCCUUGUUGUGUAUGGUGAAAUUUUGUCCCAUACUAUACACUAUAGAGCUAGAGAAAAGCAACCUAAUAAGCUGAGAUUGUCGAGAAAAUGUGGUUGUCAAAUAGCUGAACUGAAUUGCUCGAAAAAGAGGCAACUACUCUUGUAGCUUUCCAAAAUCUGGAAAACUAAAACAAUUAAACAAGUACUGCUAAUCCAUUGUUUUUCUAA